UUAAUUGAGAGUUUGAUCCUGGCUCAGGACGAACGCUGGCGGCGCGCUUAACACAUGCAAGUCGAGCGAUGAAACUUUAACAGAACUCUUCGGAGUGAAGAUAAAGUGGAUUAGCGGCGGACGGGUGAGUAACACGUGAGUAACCUGCCUUAGACAUUGGGAUAGCCUCGGGAAACCGGGAUUAAUACCAAAUAAAAUCAUAAUGACACAUGUCAUAACGAUCAAAACUCCGGUGGUCUAAGAUGGACUCGCGUCCCAUUAGCUAGUUGGUAGAGUAAAAGCCUACCAAGGCGACGAUGGGUAGCCGGCCUGAGAGGGUGAACGGCCACAUUGGAACUGAGAAACGGUCCAAACUCCUACGGGAGGCAGCAGUGGGGAAUAUUGCACAAUGGAGGGAACUCUGAUGCAGCGACGCCGCGUGAACGAAGAAGGCUUUCGAGUCGUAAAGUUCUUUUAUAUGGGAAGAUAAUGACGGUACCAUAAGAAAAAGCCCCGGCUAACUACGUGCCAGCAGCCGCGGUAAUACGUAGGGGGCUAGCGUUGUCCGGAAUCACUGGGCGUAAAGGGUUCGCAGGCGGAAAUGCAAGUCAGAUGUAAAAGGCAGUAGCUUAACUACUGUAAGCAUUUGAAACUGCAUAUCUUGAGAAGAGUAGAGGUAAGUGGAAUUUUUAGUGUAGCGGUGAAAUGCGUAGAUAUUAAAAAGAAUACCGGUGGCGAAGGCGACUUACUGGGCUCAUUCUGACGCUGAGGAACGAAAGCGUGGGUAGCAAACAGGAUUAGAUACCCUGGUAGUCCACGCUGUAAACGAUGAGUGCUAGGUGUCGGCGAAUGUCGGUGCCGCAGUUAACACAAUAAGCACUCCGCCUGGGGAGUACGUGCGCAAGCAUGAAACUCAAAGGAAUUGACGGGGACCCGCACAAGCAGCGGAGCAUGUGGUUUAAUUCGAAGCAACGCGAAGAACCUUACCAGGGCUUGACAUACUGAGGACGUACUUAGAGAUAAGUAUACUUCUUCGGAAGCCUCAAUACAGGUGGUGCAUGGUUGUCGUCAGCUCGUGUCGUGAGAUGUUGGGUUAAGUCCCGCAACGAGCGCAACCCCUAUCUUUAGUUGCCAGCAUAUAAUCAGAAUGCUGCGGUGAAUGCGUUCCCGGGUCUUGUACACACCGCCCGUCACACCAUGGGAGCUUGUAAUACCCGAAGCCUGUGAGCAAACCGCAAGGGAGCAGCAGUCGAAGGUAGGAUAAGUGACUGGGGUGAAGUCGUAACAAGGUAGCCGUAUCGGAAGGUGCGGCUGGAUCACCUCCUUU
rnacentral:rRNA from 1 species